rnacentral:misc_RNA from 1 species
AAGUCGUAACAAGGUUUCCGUAGGUGAACCUGCGGAAGGAUCAUUACCAAAAGAAACGAACCAUAGUGGAUUUGUUGAGCACCGUCUUAGGUGUAUGGUGUUCUUCAAUUGAAUAACUAUUGAUUUUAUAUUACAACAAAACAAACACAACUUUUAACAAUGGAUCUCUAGGCUCUU